rnacentral:lncRNA from 14 species
GUGGAAGGUAUCAUAGUAGAGAGACUGUGGGAGCCAUGGGUCAGCUGAGUCUCUUCUCAUUGUUAUUCUCCCGCAAGGACUUGUGGGGCCCUGCCCCAUAUUUUAUUUACUCUUGGAUUGGCCAACAGGGCAUGCUGGGUGAAUGCUUGCUGAAUGAAUAAUGGGAAUGGGGUGGAGCAGCAUCUCCUUGGCCUUCUGUGAGGUCUGCCUUCUGCACAGAGGCCUCUACUUCCAUGCGCUUCGUCCGCUCCGCUCCGUUAACCGCACCCUCCCUCCCCUCCACAGGUCUGCAAUGUCCAGCCAACAGUCGCUACACUGACUGCGUCCCCCUCUGUCCCCCUUCUUGCUCGGACCCAGAGGGCCGCUGCGAAGGCCCUGGCCCCACAGUCCCCUCCAUUUGCAAGGAAGGCUGUCUCUGCCACCCUGGCUUUGUACUUGAUUGGGACAAGUGCGUGCCCAGAAUUGAGUGUGGCUGCAAAGACACGCAGGGUGCUCUCAUUCCGGCAGGCAAGACCUGGAUUCCUAGAGGCUGUACCCAGAGCUGUACCUGCAUAGGAGGGGCCGUUCAGUGCCAGAAUUCCGAGUGUCCCCCAGGGACUUACUGCAAGGACAACAUUGAUGGCAGCGGAACUUGUGUCAAAAUCACUCUGCAGUGCCCCGCCCACAGCAACUACACCGAUUGCCUUCCCACCUGUCUCCCUUCCUGCUUGGACCCCAGUGCCCACUGUGGGGAGCCCAGCCCUAAAGACCCCUCUACUUGCAAGGAGGGCUGCGUCUGUCAACCUGGCUACAUGCUGGAUAAAGACAAGUGUGUCCUUAAAGUUGAGUGUAGCUGCAGAGACAACCAGGGUGCUGUCAUUCCGGUGAGUGAGCAUGGAAAUAUCACACACACACACACACACACACACACACACACACACACACACACAC